rnacentral:rRNA from 1 species
UACGGAGGGGGCAAGCGUUAUUCGGAAUUAUUGGGCGUAAAGGGCGCGUAGGCGGCUAGAUGUGUCAAAGGUGAAAUCCCUCGGCUCAACUGAGGAACUGCCUUUGAAACUGUCUGGCUUGAGGCCGGGAGAGGGUAGCGGAAUUCCCAGUGUAGCGGUGAAAUGCGUAGAUAUUGGGAGGAACACCCGUGGCGCAAGCGGCCACCUGGCUGCCAACUGACGCUGAGGCACGAGAGCGUGGGGAGCGAACCGG